UCUACAUUAGUAUAGAGGUGACUGUGCCUGCCUGUCACGUGGGAGACUGGGAUUAAAUUCCCCAAUGGAGAG
rnacentral:tRNA from 1 species